CCCAUGAGUAAGUCUUGAGUGCCUACUCUAUACGUGGUUCAUGGCAGAGGGCUCAGAAGAAAAAGGCAAUUUGGGGAAGGAAUGGUUACCAGCAGAGCCCACGGAGUAGCGUGUGAUCCUGGGCAAGUUAUUUGAUCUCACUGAGCCUCUGAUUCCUCACUGCAAGAUGGGCACAGUACUAGCCAUGAAGGGUGUGGAGUCGGGAAGGGAGAUUAAAAAGAAAAGAGAGAGGAGAGGAAGAGAAAAUCUAGCAAGAUGGCAAGAGCUGGAGCUGGUGAGGAAACUGAAACUCAGGAAAGAAAACAUUAGCUUGUCCGGGACAGCACAGCGGUUCAUCAAAAUUCACAAAGAAAAAGCAUAUAGAAAGAAAAAGACUAGACCAGCAUCACUCAAUUGAAAUAUAAUUAGAGUGGAGAGGAAACUGAGGCUCAGAAAAGUGAAGAGACUUUCCCAAGGCUACACGUUUGAGAAGGAUAACUCUGGGAUUCAAUCCGAAGCAGCCUGGCUGCACUCAAGAACUCAUUGCCUUGUUGAAGAGGCAACAUACAUACUCAAGAAAAAUGCGAUGAACAACAGAAGAGAGAAAGCAGUAAGGGCUAUUAUUUCUGGACUACUAAUAUUAAUAUCAUAGCAAAUACUUAAUGAAAAACUCAUGAUGUGCCAGGCUGCAUUCCAAAAGCUUAUGAGAUAUGUACUGCAUUCUAAAAGCUUUAUGUACUAUAUCUUAUUAAAUCUUCACAAAACCCAA